CCGACUAGKUCCGGGUUCGAGUCCCGGGCAACCCAUUGUAAU
rnacentral:tRNA from 1 species